UCCUAGAAAGCGAACUAUUCGCACUAAGUUUCGGCCUUAGCCUUGCUCUUUAGCUCUAGGAU
rnacentral:tRNA from 1 species